GCCGGGGUGGCGGAACUGGCUAUACGCGGGGGCCUCAAAAGCCCCUGCCCGCAAGGGCGUAGGGGUUCGACUCCCCUCCCCGGUA
rnacentral:tRNA from 1 species